AUACGUAUGGUGCAAACGUUGUUCGGAAUCACUGGGCUUAAAGAGCACGUAGGCGGUUGAGAAAGUCUGAUGUGAAAUCCCUCGGCUUAACCGAGGAAUUGCAUUGGAAACUUCUUGGCUAGAGUGUAGGAGGGGAGAGUGGAAUUCCUGGUGGAGCGGUGAAAUGCGUAGAUAUCAGGAGGAACGCCGGAGGCGAAAGCGACUCACUGGCCUGUCUCUGACGCUGAGGUGCGAAAGCUAGGGGAGCGAACGGGAUUAGAAACCCGAGUAGUCC
rnacentral:rRNA from 1 species